GGCGACGGCCGCUCUCGGACCUCCGCGCUCCGCACGCGCCCAGGCCGGGCUCAGCGCCCACGAGUUGUCUGGGUUUGGCUCUGCUGAAGCGCAGCGUUGCUGCCGUGGGGGUGACAGGGAUAAGUACGCGGCAGUGACACGGGGGUGGCUGAAAUGCGGAGUUUUAAGCCUAGGUGCGCUGUUACCCCUUCACUGACACCCCGCCGAGCCGCGUGCUCCGGAUCUCUUCCCGCAGUAGCGCCACACGCGCGCACUGUGGCGUCCCAGCAGGUGAACGGCCGCCGGGUGCCCGCCCUGCGGCUGCCGCAGCGCUCCCGCACGGCUCAAGCAGAGCCCGGGGCAGCCGCUCCCGGCCGCUGGGGCUCAGGCGGGCGGGCGCCGUGCGGGAACAACAGCCGCCCCCCUCCCGCUGCGCCUGGGCUGAGGGGACGGUCCCGAGAGACGUCGCCGUCUCCUCUCCCCCUCCCCCCUCCUUGGGGCCGUCGCGUCUCUCCUCUCCGGACCACCUUAAGGGCCGGUGCGCGGCGGGGCCGUCCCGGGGGGUUGCCGUCCGCCCAGGCCGGGGCGUUUGUUUGUUAAUUGCGGCGCUGUUGCGCUUCGCGCUCGCGUGGAGCUCCCGCUGCGGCCGUAAUGACUGCGAGCGCGGGAACGCGCCGCGCUGGGGCCGGAGGAGCGGAGCGGGGCGGGAGGGAAAGGGCCGCCCGAAGUUCGCUGCCUCUGCCGACGGGAUCCUCCGCCGCCCCUUUCUCCUCCCCAUGUAAAUAGACGAGCAGGUCUCCCGUCGAGGAGGAAAUGGGCAAUAACGACGCGAUAAACGUGUUCGCUGUGUAAUCAUUGCGUGAGAGAAGAGAUGCAGUGUGAAGAUGCUGAGCGUCCUGAAGCUGUUCAGUAACAAAGCAGGAACUAUGGAACUUCGUAGCAGUUUAAAAAUGAUGACGUACCCAAAUUUCCUUGGAAGACUGUGAUAAUUUCUCUAAUUGUCUUUCAGAUAUAUAAAACAGCGCAGCCGUGGGGAGGGCGCUCUGCUUUAUGUGACUGAAAAGCAGCCUGGAUAGCUUACAGCUGUGGAGUCACAGCCGUUGUGUGCUCCUCCAGCAGAGGCUUCACUGAAGUCACUGGAAGCACUGAGAUGAAGGAACCAGGGCUCAGGUCUUAAAAAUGGGCUGUGUGUUUUUUUCCAGAAAAUACAACAGCUGCUUUUCCUGAAAAACUGUGCUUUGCUGUAGCCGUACAGAUUACUUGAGAACACUUUGUAGUGGUUUCCAAACAGACGUCCAGUCAUCACACCAUGCAGAAAUAGAAAACCCGCAGAUGAAGGCAAAAGUGUUACAGAUGCUGCAACUCUUUGCAAACCUGUAGAUUUGGCAACAAGUAGUUAAUGCUUGGGCAAGUCUUUGUUGCCACAAAUGUUGGUGCCACUUCAGUUCAAACAUCCUGGCUAUUGCUUGUCAUUGGAUUCUCUAAGCCUAAUUUCUGUCUGCUUUUAAGGCUUUGCUCAUUUGAUUGCAUAGGUCACAUCAAACCAAAUAAUGGCAACUACAGAGCUUUUAGUUUGAAAGGUUGGUAAAUUGGCUUUUCAUUAUUAUUAUUAUUAUUUUUACUUGAAGAUGAAAUACCACAUAAAAUGUUUAUAUGGCACUUUGCUUAUUAAAAAAUACAGAUCGUUAGUUCAUAAUGGAAAAAUUGCUUUUUAAUUUCCACCUCUGUUCCCCAGUAAGUUGUGGUGGGUCACUUUUCUGUGUUGGAUAGGUCAGUGAAUGGUGCUUUUAUAAAUAAUGUUUGAAAGGGACGUUUUACUCAAUGGAAAUUGUUCAAAUAAUCUUGUUAGACUGAAGCCUUGACUGAAGGCAGACCUGCCCAUGCAGGGAAUUGGAGCUGGGUGAUCUUUAAGGUCUCUCCUGACCCCAGCUAUUCUGUGAUUCUAUGAUUCUGAGGCAAAUUUCGUGGGUUAAAUUCAGAAAGGACUGUCUAGGCUGAUCUCUUUCCUGUCACAGGCCACAAAGCUUCAUCCAGAGACUGUUUCUGCAGUGAUUACCUACAGGACAUGGGAUUUUGCAUGGACAGCAUGGGAUUUUGCAUGGGCAGCAUGUUGAACGACACCAUGAAAUGAGAAAGUAGAGCUUUGUGAGAACAGAGUAAAGGGCAAGUAGAGGAAAGAAUAUCUUUGCAGUUCAGACUUUUUUCCCACGUGCCACGUGUGGUCCCAAACUGAGCAGUGUGAUGAGCAGUCCAAGUAUGGGAAGGAAUGCAUUGAUAUGCACUUCUGGAAGUCAGCAAAGCAGGCAUUAUGAGUAAAAAUCCAGCUCUAUAAACUUGCAAAGAAAAAAACAGGGAUUGGAGAGUACAAGUAUGCACAAAUAUCCUAUAUUUUGAUAGGUAUUUUUCCUUUCACAGAGGAGUUAAAUAGCAUUGACACAACUUCUGAGACAGCCUAUAUUUUAUUGUGAUUCUUGAGAACUCCUUGUAGACAAGAAGAAGAAUGUUUUGUUUAUAACUUUUCAGGGUUAUCAAAUCUGGUUGCCAGUGGGCCCACUACCAUGAUGGUCAUACAGGAGAGAGACUUCUGGGAGAAAAAAAAUACACUGUGCGUGAUCUGUUGUGUUUGCUACUUCUAGGGUGCAGUGAGCAGGCGACAGAGAAGGAGAAGAAACUGCUGGAAGAUUGCUUUGCUGUCCCUUUACUACAAAGGAGGAUGACAAAGUGAUUGAUCAGUGCUGUGUUCUGAGGACUGCUCCAGCAGUGCAGCAGUGAAGCUGCAGGUUGUGGCUGGAGGAUUUUCUGCAGAAAAGAAGCAUAGGCCUUGAUUAGACUCCUUCCUGAGGCUGCUUUGGAUGUGUUGGCUUAGCGAGAAGCAGCAUGAACAGCAGAAUCAGCAUAGGAAGUUAGUGGCAGCCGCAGUUUAGCAUGAGGACAACAUAAGGUAAAGGUGUAUCAAAAGGUUUACCUUUAUUCCCGCACACCAUGCAGUCAGGGAUUGGGCUGCAAUGUCCGUGUUGUUUUAUAAUGCCUCAUUUCCCUUUGGUGAAACAACAGAGGAGGAAGGAAUGCAAGAAAACAUGGUUUGUGAGGAUUAUAAAUGAAAUUAAACGUUCUGAGGGCAAUCCUUUUGUUUUGUUUUGUUUUGUUUUCCAUAGUAAUGGUUUUCAAUUUUGCCUAUUAUGUAGCAAGCUUUACUUACUUUCCACCUGUGCUACAGGUUGUAAUACCUCAUGGUGUGAUGUGACUUUUAAAGAUAAGCUUUUAGUUUUCCUGCAUUAAAUAGUCAAUGUUUUUUUUUGUUUUGUUUCGUUUUUGCCGUUGUUGUUGUUUUGGUUUUUGGUUUUUUUUUUUUUUUUUUCAUUUUUACUAUACAUGGAGAAUAAUACAAAUAUCAUGCUGUUCAGUAUCUACACACGAGGUAUUUAUGGAUGUAAUCCUCUGACUGCCCAGGUAACCAGUCACUUACUUUAAAGCAACUGCUAGAUCAUUAAUGUGUAAGUGUACUCUUGAAUUGAGGUAAGGUUAUGUGGAUCGAGGCUGGCAAGAAGAUUGGUCUCUGGUGCUAAUAUGAGAAUAUACACAUGCAGUGUUCACUCUUAAAAGCCAAAGCUUGUCCCAGUGAGAGUACUGAAGCCCUCCAGCAUGCCAGUGACAUUUGUGGUGAUACAAUUCUCUCCUUAUGCUUCAUCAAAAUGUUGUUAAUGCUCAUACAUGCUCAAAUGGCACAUGCGCCAUCUUUACUCCCAGCAUGGGCUGUGAAGCCUUUUUGAUGAAUCUUCAUUUUUGAGAACUUUAGUUUUAUCAGUUCGGGUAUAAACCCCUGCAAAUUUUCUCAUAAAUGUUCAUUGCCAUCUAGCUUACCUGACUGAGCUGUAACCGUCUGAGGUGAAUGGCUUGCAAAUAAGAAUUACCAUCUGAAGAUGGUCUGGCAUGCGUGUAUCUGGUUUUCAAUGUCAGAAUGUUCUGGAGGAAUGAAGGGGACCCUUGUUUUUUAACUUGACUUCUGUUAACUUCAAAGUAUCCAUGUUUGAGCAUAUUUCUGAGUGUUGAAUUUACAGGUUAUAUGGAAGAAUCAGAAUGGAGAAGCUGGGGAGUGCAGAGUUCUUUCUCAUAUGCUGUGAAUCAAUUUUGGAAUGACUCAGUUGCUACAUUGUGAGCAAGCGUGUGACUCCUGCCAAGAAAUAUAGCCCAGCCGGUGUACUAUUCUGUACUACAGAAUACAGCCUGGUAGAAGUAGACUUGAAAGUCAAGCUUUGAGCCAAGGAUGCCCCAUCUGCCAGCAGGUUAGUCUGGGCAAUCUGAGUUGCUGCAGAGACAAGAUUAGGCAGUGCAGUCCAGUUUGACUCACCAGUUUUUGCACUGUAUAAUUAUAUGGGGACGUUAGCUUAUGUGUCUGCCCUCCCUCAUUCCGUAAAUUAAAUGAAAAAUUAAUAGGGACAUGCACUUCUGAGGAAGAAGGGAACUGGACAAAAGACUCUUGGUGUUGAAAUGCAUGGAUACAAAAUCCAGAUGUAAUGAAAAGCAAAAUUUUAUAUAACUGAUUUGAAGAAGAACCUGUUCUGUGAAAUCCUAGAACAAUACAAAGCUGCUCAGAAAUUCUAAUGCAGAAUUCUAAUGCUUUUGCACCUUGUAAGUGUAUAAUAGAACAACUUAAAGGAAUAACAUUUCUCAUACAUAUUUGAAAUGGAGCUUUUUAAGUUUCACUGUUUCCAGUCCAGCUUCUGAUGGAGGAUGCGCAACAGUCAAUUUUAAAAUGCUGAGUGAUAAAAAUCACACAUAGAAAUUCUUACAGAAAUUACUCAUUGCCCUGGAGUUAAAAUGGAAAUAACAAACAUAUCUUUCAUCACUCAUUUUGAAUAUUUAUUCUUUGUGUUUCACUUACUCUAAACAAAAUUUUUAUCUCUGGGGUUAGAUCCUGCAUAAUCCUUCACUGUACUAAUUUUGCUGGGACAAUACAUAAGUAGCUGCUGAUUCCAAAUAUGAAUAAAGACAGCAGGCUUGGGCUUGUGUUAAUUUUGAUGAAUAAAUUGGCCUCAAGAAUGACAAGUUGUGUUAGCACUUUUCACUUUAUAACAUUACACAGCCAAAGAUGUUAACUCUGUGCAGUGAAUUAGCAAUAGGCAGUGCUUGGAACUGCUUGUAUGGAACACUCAGGUGCUGUCUCAGUAGAAACUCACUCUUAAAAACCUUUCUCUAUUUUUAUUUUAGUGAAAGAAUGGUGUGAUUGAAAAACAAAGCAUUGAGAGGAAUUUCACUGUAACAGCAAAAUGUCCUUCCUUUCAUUUUACCCAUUGAGUUUUUAAUAUGGAUAUUUCUUUGCCAGUUCCUUUGAGUUGUCCUGGUUCUUAGUUGGUGCUAAUGAUGGCAAUAAUAGCCCUGUGUGUGUGUGGUGGGGGAAAAGAAAAUAGUACUGUAUUGGUAGGAGAUUUUUUUGCAGUUGUCUUUUGUGGGCUCACAAUUGUGUUACAAAAGAUUCAGUCUUGAUUGAUUUCUUUUAUUUCUUUUAUAUGUUCAUUUGUUGUGCAUUUGUGGCAGGGUCACAGUGGGGGAGUUGUGUGACUGGAAACAACCACAAGGAAGGAGAUGCACAACAGACAUUUAAGCCUAACAAGUAUCAACUUUGUCUCUCGUGGUGUUAGUUGGGUUCUUCUCUGUCUGGUUCGGGUGCUUUCUGGAUGACACGUUGUCAAGUGUUGCAAUGGAUGUUGGGGUCCCAGGAAAAGGCGUGAUAAUGUCCAGAAUGGGAUAAUUCACUCCUUAUUGUACUCAAGGCCUUGUCAAAGUAGUUCCUUCUGGAAAUCACUGAACUGGGGACCUUUCAAAGGGACUAAUAAGUGGAAUGCCUUAUUUUCUUGCUACUUUGCCAAUUCUGGUACAUUUUUUUGCAUUACAAAUUUCUUAUCUAGUAAGCAUGCACAUUGUUGGAAGCUUUCCUUAUUCUUUGCUGACCCGAGCUGUUAGGCUGGUUAGUCUUUCAUAACUUUGGACUCAUACACUAAGUUAUCUCAGCAAAGAGGGUGGUGAAGCACUGGGACAGGUUGCCCAGAGAAGCUGUGGAUGCCCCAUCCCUGGAGGCAUUCAAGCUCAGGUUGGGUGGGGCCCUGGGCAGUCUGAUCUGGCUGACUUAGUGAGGGACAACCCUUUCCACAGUGUGGUUGAAACUAGAUGAUCUUUAAGGUCUUUUCCAAGGUAAACCACUAUAUAAACCUACAAAUCUACGAUUCUAUGACUUGCACGUUAAGUUAUCCCAUCUAUGGGAGCCUUACUGUUUCUAUUUGGUUUUAUCUGAUUAGCCUUUGAACAGUCUCACUAACCUGCUAUGGAAUACUGGAAAAAUUUACUUCUGUUUAAUGCGUUUCUGAUUCUUGUAUUGACAAAUCCAGAUGUUAGGCUGGAAUCUGCAGGUUAACGAAUAAGACCUUCCUUGACCUGUAAAACUCCUGCAUGAACUUCUGAUAAAAAAUAAAAAGCUUUUUAAAUGUUUGUCUUUAUUUUCCAUGAAAAAUAUGACAUGCUCUGACAAAAUUCAGAGGCCUGGAAGACUUUGUCUGAGAACCAAUACUUCUAGAUUUGAAAAAACGUUACUGUAGUUCUCCUUUAACAUUUUAAUCUGGUAGCCUGCUGGUCUUAUUCUGUAAGGUUGAGAGUGCCUACCAUCUCUAACGCUGCACCAUGAUCUUUGUUCUUUGAAGGGAGUGUAGGAAGCAGGGGAUCCCUCAAAGUGACCUAUAAUUGGAGUUGGCCUUUAAAUGGUGAAAUCAGUUGAUAGAGGAGAUCUAUUGCACAGAGCAGGUAAGCCACAGAUUAAUACGGUUUUCAAUCCAAAUAUUUUGGUUUGUAAGUAUGGCUUUUUGGAGAAGUACAUUUGCAGAAGCACAUACUUCAGGAAUGCAAAAAAAAAAAAAAAAAUCCAACCAAAAAGUGUUUAGCUGAAAGUCCCAUUUCCCAUCAAAAAUAGAUACAGUGGAAAAAUUUCUAGCAGCUCUAUAUUUAACUUCCUUGGAUCAAGGAAUGAUCACUUGCUGGACUGAGGGAAGCAGAUGGAUGUUUUUUGCUGCUUUUGUUAAGGUGUCUGUUUUUUCACUCAUGAUGUCUGCCUGGUUUUCCAGCUAUAUUCAACCUUGCUAUAAUUCUUGCUCUUGCAGCAUUUUUCAGUGUUUAGAAUGCUAGUUCCUACUGAACUCAGCUGACUGGCAAUAUGUGCAAACUCAAAGUUUCUUUCAAGGGAUGUGUUAAUCAUGUUAGUUUUGUUUUGGUGGGCUUUUAAUAAGCAAAUGUGAAUAGCUGUGUCCACUGAAUAGUGAAUAGCCACAAAACUCAGCAUUGCUGCAAUACAGUCCUCAGUUCUGUGCACAAGGUGGAUUUACUUUGAGAUGUUACGGAUGCAAACAGAAUAUGUGGAUUAGAGGGAGAAUGGGCUAAGUUCUUGAUGGAUAAGACCCAUUAGGAGAAGCUGAAUGGAUAAAUUAUACCAGCCUGAGGAGUUCCCCUGAGUGAAAGGUAGUUGAAGACUGGAGGUUAUUUAGGGAAAAUAUUGUAUUUUAUUUCUGUGAUUAUACUCUUGGCUCUGACUUAUGGCCACUUUUGGAAGCAGCAUACUGAGCUAAACAGACCUUUGAUCUGAACUGGUGUAGCUAUCCUUGUGUAAGGAGAAGUACACUUAUGAAUCACCAAAUCUGGUCUUUGGGUCUUUGGUAACCUGGAAUUUAGCAGAAUUUAUCAGAAAUGAAACUUAAUCAUCCAGGAAAGGUGUAAGCCAGUCACAGAUAAUGCAAACAUCAGGUUAUCAAAUUUCAAAUGAAUAGGUUGUGAUUUUGGAUAUCUCAGGCUUUGUGCUGAUUUUUUUGCUUUUGCAGCUACAACUUUACAGAAUUUGCUACAACUGUGCCCUAAAUACAACUGUGAACCUUUUUGGAUGUUCUCCAAAAGCCAGUGGAUAGAAUGUUGGUGUUAUAAGACUUCUGCAGUACCUGUAAUAGAUAUAUCUAGUUUUACUCCUUUGUACCUCAGUUUACUUGACAGCUAUAUUGAUGGAAAUAGAUUUUGUAUCUUUUCCUUAUAAAGUAUACAAAUUUUCCUUAAAAUUUCUCUCAGCAGAAUUUGGUUCUAGUACAUUUUCAGUAGAUGACUAGUAAUUUCCCUUUAAAAUGUUAUAAGUAAUCUUUAGAAGAGAUAAUAGCCAGACAGAGUUUGAAAGGAAGAAGUGGUUUGAGUAUUGUUUAGAAAGAAGUUUGUCAUUCUGCUACCAAAACUGUGAGAGAGGACGGUUGGACUAGAUGAUCUUAUAGGUCCUUUACAACCUUGAGAUUCUAUGAUUUUAUGAUUCUAUGAGAGGAUGGAGAAAAGAUAGCACAUCAGUGAAGGAGCAAGGUACCACUUUCCAUUUGUGUAUCUUUGGAUUCCAAAUACUUUUUGAACCAUAGUGCUAUGUGGUUGAUUAUCUUUACCUGAAAUAACCAUUUUUAAGGAAGAAAUGUGAGUACAUUAGAAUUUGUGCAUCACAAAAAUAACAAAAAAGAAGGAAAAAAUAAAGAAAUUUUACAUUUUCCUAAAAAUGCAACAAAUAUACAUAUGCUUAUUUAAAAGUGACUUAGUAAUCUAUGAAGAGAAAGAAGAGAUUGUAAUCCAGUCUCUAAAUGUAUGUAAAGAAUAGUGAGAAUAGUGCAAACUCUCUUACAUUAGUAGUAUGUCUUAAUGUGAAUCAUAAUUGUAGUGUCAAGAAGUGAGAGGCAUGUAGAGUUGCCAAAUUUGUCCACUCUUUUGAAACUGGAAUUACUGUAGGAAGUAAUUGGGUGUGAAAUAAAUGUGUUAACAAGUAGUUGGAUUGAGACUAUUACAUUUCUUUUAUUUAAGUAGCAGAUAAUAAGUACUGAAACUUCAAGGAAGAGAUUACAUCCUGCAAAAAUUUCUCAUGCAAAAUAGCCUAUACUAAUGUCAGUGAUUAUGGCUGCUUUAAGGUGUCUGCUUGCUUGGGAAAAGGUUUGUAAAACCGGGUCUUUAAAUGAGAGAGUGGUUUAGGAAACAUUUUAUAGUGGGAGUUAACUUUUAGAGACACUGGGCAAAAAAUGGAUGUUAAGCAUCAAUAUUUCUUCAAUAUUAAGUACUUCCAGAGCUGCCUUACAGGUAACUCUUUGUUGGCAGAAAAACUGAAGGAGACAAUGAAGAAAAAUGGGAUGGUAAAACGUGUGGAAUCUCAUGCCAAUACGAAGUUAGUUAAGUCAUGUAUCUUCUGAAGAAUUGGGAAAUGAUGAAGAUAAAUUGAAAAAGGUCUGUCUGAGCUUAAAAAAAACACGGCCGAUAUAUGUGUCAGUCUCUUGUUUGUUAAAUAUAUAUGUUUGUGCUGUCUCACUGGUGGUUUUGAAAUGCUCGGUAUUUUUCUAAGGGCCACUGGUUGGACUGGGAUGUAAGAAAUAUCUUCUGCUUUUAUGGGUAGUAAAGUUGAAAAUAACCAUUUUCACUUUUAAAUAAGCUGUUUCAUUCUCUCUGUAAAACAAAACAAAUUCUACAUGCUUGAAUUUCUAUUUAACUGAUGUAGAGUUCAUCAAAAACUAUCUUCCCUAUUAUGUAGCAUGGAGAUUAGCUUAGACUGUGUUACAGCAUAAUGUGAUUAUAAUUAUUUCCUUAAGAGAGUACAGAAGCAGCAUCUAUGUUUUAACUGACAUUUAUUGACAUGCAGCAUCAGUUGGGAGCCCCACCAAGCUUCCCAUUCUUUUCUGUUUACCACCUCCUGCUUUUAUUUACAGUCAGCAUAUCUGUUAAUUAGCUUCAGGUAGAGCCAGUUCUUCUAAGAAGAUCUCAUGUCUUCCUGGUGAUGGCCCCGUGAGGUGACCAUGUACACACAGUCUGAGUAAAUUCAUCUUUAAUUUAUUAAUUUUAGUGCCUGAUUCUGAAAUGUUCAACUGCUGGCUUGUUUUCCUACCCCCAGUUUGUAUUUGGACUAUUGUAGGUUUUGACUCCCGUUGCUCCAGUGUCAUAAACACAUCUCAGUGAGCUCUCAGCAUCGUGUGGUUACCUCACUGGAAGUCAUAUUUUCUUGUGAUUUUCUGGGCUGGACCAGAAUGCAUAUGGUAUGUUGGUGGCUUCUAGGUAAAUGCCCUAUGUAACUGAAAUAGUUUUCCUAGUUUUCUUUGCACUUUGCAGAAUAAAAAUAUCUGAAUGUUUGCAAAUAGUGUCUUAUGAAGCAAUGCAAAGCCUGGCACAGUUGUAUACCAAGUUCUAAUUUUUGUGGAAAGGCUGAUCUGAGUAAAAUAACUUAGUUUUAAAUGAACUAGAAAGACUAAUUCCUUUGAAUUAAAUUCCUAGGACUUCCAGGCAUCCUGGUUGCUGUUACAAGAGAGACAAAAAUCAAAAAAGAAGAGAUGAAUACUUGUUACUGAUGGCUAAUAGGUUAGUGAUGAUGAUGCUCGGUGACAAAGAAUCAAUGAAAAAGUAUCAGUGAAAUUUUUUUUUUUGCCAUCUUUAAUUGUAAGAAACCCAUGCUGACUGGUCUGCUAAAGUUUCAUGGGGAAAUUGAAUACUGUGGGGAAAAGGUGGGUGAUGUCUUUAAGCCAUAUUAACCGUUUCUGUGUGUUUUGUGGUUGGACAGGGAGAUAAAAGUUGCUGGAAACGUCUUCUACAAUUCAGUGGCACUUCAUCAGUAUAAUGAAGUACCAUUUAGGCCAUCUUUGUUAGGGAGAAGCUCCUUUACUUCUAGUAUGCUCUCAUCUUUCAAAUCUCAUUACAGCAGCACCGUGAGUUUCUGCAGAUUUCCUUUCACAUACAGCAUCCAUAAGUAUGGAAGUUACAAAUUUAUCAUUUCUCUCUGGUUUUUCUUUUUUUUCAUUGUCUAAGUUCAUUGAUUUGCAACUUUUGUUUUUUUUUUCUUAAUGUUGAAAGACAGAUAUGCAAAUUUUAUAAACAGUAUGCAUGGUUAAAUUUAGCUGUAAAUUCCAGUCAGGGAUUUCUGCUUUGUUUAUUGUCCAAGUCAAUAUGUCUGUGGAGAAAACCUCCCACUGUGCAAGAGUACACAGUCAGCUACUUGGAGAAGUAGAAAGUUUAAUUAUGAGAGUGUAUUCUGGGAAAAAAAAAGUAAAACAAGCUCUGUUUUUUGUUUUUAUUGUUUAUUUUUUGUUAUUAUCAUUUCAAUUGACAGGAAUACAAUCUAGAUAGCUUAUCUUGACAUUAACUUCUAUGAGACGAACCAUGUCAUUUUUCUUUAAUGCGUUUGUCUAUGUAACUGAAGAAGUCAGAGAGACAGUAGAGUUGAUGAAUAAAUAGUACAUUUCUUAAACUUGCAAGGUAGGUAAGUGAGGUAAAUGAAAUAAAAUCCAACACUGGAGGAAAAAAAGGUGUAAACAUGUAUAUUGCUGAGAAUAUCCUCAUUAAAAUAUAACAAACAUUAUAUACAUACUAGUAUCAGGUUGCACGGAAGAUACAAAUUUGCACUGUUACUUCCUUAUAGUGAUUUUUGUUUAUGCUAUGGAAUUAAACUAUCUUUAAGUUUCUGAGUAAAUUACUGGUAGGAAAUAAACUAUAUGUGGAUAUACUCUCAUGCUUAGGACAGAAAAUUCUUCAAGAAUAUAAUUGCUAGUACAGUUCUAAGUACCCUUACUUUUCAUGUGCUGUUUACAUAGAAUAUAUUUUACUUAGUUAUGUAUAUUAAAAAAAAAACAACAAAACCUAUGCAAAGAAGGUGUCUCCUUUGCCUAUCUGGAUAUCUGUAAUGCUGUAACAAUCUCCUUGGGCUUUAUUGCAUAUUUCUUCUUUGUAAAUUGAUUUGACUAAUGUAAAUAAUAUUUUUAUGAUACUUCUACAGUGAGCAAUAAUUAUGAGAUUUAUUCUAAGGCAAUAAAAUUUUAAAAGUUCAUUAUGACUAGUAUUUGCAUGGGGUGACUUUCAUCUGUGUGUAGGCAUAUCUUUUUUCUUUACAUCUGUGUAGAACUGAUCCAUGACCUGAGCUUGUGGCUUCU
ensembl:lncRNA